rnacentral:lncRNA from 10 species
UCCUCACUAAAUGCUGGUGGCAAAGUCUCAAGAGUUACCUUUCCUGAACCAAAAAUAAUUGCUUCAGGAUUCUGCCUCAGUUGCUUUGCCUGUAGAGAUUGGGUUUCCAGUGUUUAUUUCUUUUGUAGAGUUUCUUAUUAUGGAAUGAUGUUCUGUCUUUGCUGUAGAUUCAGAUGAGGAGAUACUUCCCAUUAAUGACCACAGAUGGCCAGUGUAUUUGAUUUAUUUCCAUCCAAGACUCAAUGACUCUCCAAUGCCAGGCUCAUGAGAAAAUUGCCGGCUUGGGUGGUCACAGCUGGGGGUCUUUGCCAUGGCCCAGUGAGCACAAAGGAAGUCCGUCAGCUUGAGACCCCCAGGUAAUGGGGAUACAGAGACGAACAAAUAAGACAGGUCCUUGCAUUUAGGGAGCUGUGGUAUUGAAGAAGACUGGGAAGCAAAUAAAUGGCAGCAUAGUGUCUUAAGUGCAGCAGUAGAAAUAUAUGGGAGAAUGUUUUAAGAGCUACCUACAUUCAAAGCUUGGGACUUUGAACAAGUUGCCUACCAUCAGUGCCUGUUUACUUGUCUGUGAAACCGAAAUGUUAAAGAGUAUCUAUCUCAUAGAAUUGUGAUGAAAAUUAAAUGUCAAUUUAAUGCUCAUAUAUGGAACACUGCAUGGCACAUAAAAAGUACUUUAUCAGGGUUGGCUAUUAUAUAAAAUAUGGGGUAGCACAGAGAAUGAAACAACUAGUUAAAUUUUUGGAGAAUCAGGAAAGCUUCUUAGGAGUUGGUAUAUGAAUUGUGUUUUAAAGAAGUCUAGGAGUUCAUAAAAGUCAAAGAGCAGGAAAUACAGAAAGAGCAAAUACAAGAGAAUUCUAAUAGCCUUACUUCCCCAGGUGGUUUGAAUGAGAACCUGCACACACUUUCAGUGUACCUGCAGAUACAGCAGAUUGUAAAGGAUUGUGACUUGACAAGUUAAGUAUUUUCUCAGUCUAAUAGAGCAACUUGGAAUCAGGUAAUCUGACCCUGGGCCCAAGUGGAAUGGAUGAGGUGUUAGGCGGGGCUAACCUCCAUCAGCUCUGCACACAGGUGCAAACUGAUGCCAACAACUCAAUGACUCCUUUAUUUGCAGCAGGCUUUUUCCUGUUGACUCAUCCCUGAACACAUUUCUUUAAUAUAGUCUAAUUAGAGUAGCAUUCCAAAACAGCCUGAGAGAAUUAUGUGUUAGAAGUUUGAGGUCCCA